rnacentral:miRNA from 1 species
AUAUAAAUCACCUGAAAACUUGCUAAAAUGCAGAUUUUGAUUCAGUAGGUUUGAUGUGAGACAUAAGACUCUGCAUUUCUAAGUUUCAAGUGUUGUUGGU